UACGUAGGGUGCAAGCGUUGUCCGGAAUUAUUGGGCGUAAAGAGCUCGUAGGCGGUUUGUCGCGUCUGCUGUGAAAACUCGGGGCUUAACCUCGAGAUGUCAUCGGAAACCAUCUGGCUAGAGUCCGGAAGAGGAGAGUGGAAUUCCUGGUGUAGCGGUGAAAUGCGUAGAUAUCAGGAGGAACACCGGUGGCGAAGGGCGGGUCUCUGGGGCCAUUACUGACGUGAGGAGCGAAAAGCAG
rnacentral:rRNA from 1 species